GGCGGACGGGUGAGUAACGCGCUAGGAAUCUGCCUAGUAGAGGGGGACAACAUGUGGAAACGCAUGCUAAUACCGCAUACGCCCUACGGGGGAAAGGAGGGGACUUUUCGGAGCCUUCCGCUAUUAGAUGAGCCUGCGUAAGAUUAGCUAGUUGGUAGGGUAAAGGCCUACCAAGGCGACGAUCUUUAACUGGUCUGAGAGGAUGACCAGUCACACUGGGACUGAGACACGGCCCAGACUCCUACGGGAGGCAGCAGUGGGGAAUAUUGGACAAUGGGCGGAAGCCUGAUCCAGCCAUGCCGCGUGUGUGAAGAAGGCCUUAGGGUUGUAAAGCACUUUCAGGGGUGAGGAAGGGUGAUUGGUUAAUACCCAAUUAUCUUGACGUUAGCCCCAGAAGAAGCACCGGCUAACUCUGUGCCAGCAGCCGCGGUAAUACAGAGGGUGCAAGCGUUAAUCGGAAUUACUGGGCGUAAAGCGCGC
rnacentral:rRNA from 1 species